GCCUUUGUGGCUGCCGGGGGGGACGGCCCGGGGGUGAGGAGGAGGAGGGAGGCAGCAGCGCUACGGCGGCGAUAGCGGCGGCUGUUGUUGCCCCCGCCGCCGUGAGGCGAAGGGACCGGCCCGUCCCUUUAAACUGAGGAGAGCCGCAGGCCCGGCCGGGCCCGCCCGCCCUCUCACUGCCUCCCCGCCCGGCGGAAGGGGCUCUUUGUGCGGGCCCUCGGCCGCCCUUCCUCGGUGCCGCUGAGGGCGGGAGCGGCCCCAGCGCGGUGUCGGUGCCGGCCCUCCCGGCCGCCUCCGAGCGCCCUCGCCUCGGCUGAGGAGAGACGGGCAGAAAAUGGCAAAGUCUGGAGGAGGAGGAGGAGGCGGCGGUGGCGGCAGCGGGGGACUGACUUGGGUGACGUUAUUUGAUAAUCAGAUGAAUGCUUCAAAAAAAGAAGACUCAGAAAGUAUUAAUAAAAAUGACACUUCUAAGAAGAUGUCUGUUGAGAGAGUUUAUCAGAAAAAGACACAGCUUGAGCACAUCCUCCUCCGUCCAGAUACCUACAUCGGGUCAGUUGAACCCUUAACUCAGUUAAUGUGGGUUUAUGAUGAAGAUGUAGGAAUGAAUUGCAGAGAAGUUACCUUUGUUCCGGGCCUGUACAAGAUCUUUGAUGAAAUUCUUGUAAAUGCUGCUGACAAUAAACAGAGGGACAAGAACAUGACUUGUAUUAAAAUAUCCAUUGAUCCGGAAUCAAACAUUAUCAGCAUAUGGAAUAAUGGAAAGGGAAUACCAGUUGUGGAACACAAAGUAGAAAAAGUAUAUGUACCUGCUUUAAUCUUUGGGCAGCUGCUAACAUCCAGCAACUACGAUGAUGAUGAGAAAAAAGUUACAGGUGGGCGCAAUGGCUAUGGUGCAAAACUUUGUAACAUAUUUAGUACAAAGUUUACAGUUGAAACUGCUUGCAAGGAAUACAAACACAGCUUUAAGCAGACUUGGAUGAACAACAUGAUGAAGACCUCUGAACCCAAGAUUAAGCAUUUUGAUGGUGAUGACUAUACAUGCAUUACAUUCCAGCCAGACCUAUCUAAAUUUAAAAUGGAAAAGCUUGAUAAGGAUAUCGUGGCCCUCAUGACAAGACGAGCGUAUGAUUUGGCUGGGUCGUGCAAAGGAGUCAAAGUCAUGUUGAAUGGGAAGAAAUUACCUGUGAAUGGAUUCCGCAGUUACGUAGAUCUCUACGUUAAAGACAAGCUGGAUGAAACUGGAGUCGCGCUCAAAGUUAUUCACGAAGUUGUGAAUGAACGGUGGGACGUGUGCCUCACUCUGAGUGAAAAGGGGUUCCAGCAAAUCAGCUUUGUAAAUAGUAUAGCUACCACAAAGGGUGGUAGGCAUGUUGAUUACGUGGUGGAUCAAGUUGUGGGCAAACUGAUAGAAGUGGUGAAAAAGAAGAAUAAAGCUGGAGUUUCAGUCAAACCAUUUCAGGUGAAGAAUCAUAUAUGGGUUUUUGUUAAUUGCUUGAUUGAAAACCCAUCAUUUGAUUCCCAGACAAAGGAAAACAUGACAUUGCAACCUAAAAGUUUUGGGUCAAAGUGCCAGCUAUCUGAGAAAUUUUUUAAAGCAGCCUCUAACUGUGGUAUCAUAGAGAGUAUUUUGAAUUGGGUCAAAUUUAAGGCACAGACUCAGCUGAACAAGAAAUGUUCAUCAGUGAAACACAGUAAAAUCAAGGGCAUUCCGAAACUGGAUGAUGCUAAUGAUGCUGGUGGCAAACAUUCCUUGGACUGCACGUUAAUACUGACAGAAGGAGACUCGGCCAAAUCUUUAGCGGUCUCUGGCUUAGGUGUUAUUGGUAGAGACAGAUAUGGAGUAUUCCCACUCAGGGGCAAAAUUCUCAAUGUUCGAGAAGCUUCUCACAAACAGAUUAUGGAAAACGCAGAAAUCAACAAUAUCAUCAAAAUAGUUGGACUACAAUACAAGAAAAGCUAUGAAGAUCCAGAAUCUCUGAAAAGCUUGAGAUAUGGAAAAAUUAUGAUUAUGACAGAUCAAGAUCAGGAUGGAUCUCACAUAAAGGGCUUGUUGAUAAAUUUUAUUCAUCACAAUUGGCCAUCACUGUUGAAACAUGGUUUUCUUGAGGAAUUCAUCACCCCUAUUGUGAAGGCGAGCAAAAAUAAGCAAGAACUCUCAUUCUAUAGUAUCCCUGAAUUUGAUGAGUGGAAAAAGCAUAUGGAGAAUCAUAAAGCAUGGAAGAUAAAAUACUACAAAGGAUUGGGUACCAGCACUGCAAAAGAAGCAAAAGAAUAUUUUGCUGACAUGGAAAGACAUAGGAUCUUAUUUCGGUAUGCUGGUCCUGAGGAUGAUGCUGCCAUUACACUGGCCUUCAGUAAGAAGAAGAUUGAUGACCGAAAAGAAUGGUUAACAAAUUUCAUGGAAGACAGACGACAGCGUCGGCUACAUGGCCUUCCCGAGCAAUUUUUAUAUGGCACAGCAACAAAACAUUUGACUUACAAUGAUUUCAUUAACAAGGAGUUGAUCCUUUUCUCAAAUUCAGACAACGAGAGGUCUAUCCCGUCCCUUGUUGAUGGUUUAAAACCGGGGCAACGCAAAGUUUUGUUCACUUGCUUUAAGAGAAAUGACAAACGUGAAGUAAAGGUUGCUCAGCUGGCUGGUUCUGUGGCUGAAAUGUCAGCUUAUCACCAUGGGGAGCAAGCAUUAAUGAUGACUAUCGUCAAUUUGGCUCAGAACUUUGUUGGAAGUAACAAUGUGAAUCUGCUACAACCUAUUGGUCAGUUUGGCACCAGGCUUCAUGGUGGAAAGGAUGCUGCCAGUCCUCGCUAUAUUUUCACCAUGUUAAGCCCUUUAGCAAGGCUACUUUUUCCAUCAGUGGAUGAUAACUUGCUUAAAUUCCUUUAUGAUGACAACCAACGUGUGGAGCCUGAAUGGUAUAUUCCCAUCAUUCCUAUGGUUUUAGUAAAUGGAGCUGAAGGAAUUGGUACUGGAUGGGCAUGCAAACUUCCAAACUACGAUACCAGAGAGAUUGUAAACAAUGUCAGACGAAUGCUGGAUGGCUUAGAUCCCCACCCAAUGCUCCCAAACUACAAAAACUUCAAAGGAACCAUUCAGGAACUUGGUCAAAAUCAGUACGUAGUCAGUGGUGAAAUAUUUGUGGUGGACAGGAACACAGUAGAAAUUACAGAGCUUCCUGUAAGGACAUGGACCCAGGUGUACAAAGAACAGGUUCUAGAACCUAUGUUGAAUGGGACUGAAAAAACUCCAGCAUUAAUUUCUGACUAUAAGGAAUACCACACUGAUACAACUGUGAAGUUUGUUGUGAAGAUGACAGAAGAAAAACUUGCACAGGCAGAAGCUGCUGGAUUGCACAAAGUCUUUAAGCUUCAAACAAGUCUUACUUGUAAUUCUAUGGUGCUGUUUGAUCACAUGGGAUGUUUGAAGAAGUAUGAAACUGUGCAAGACAUCUUGAAGGAGUUUUUUGAUCUGCGAUUACAUUAUUAUAGUUUACGCAAGGAAUGGCUUGUGGGAAUGUUGGGUGCAGAAUCUACCAAGCUUAACAAUCAAGCUCGUUUCAUUCUGGAGAAGAUACAAGGGAAAAUUACCAUCGAGAACAGAUCAAAACGAGAUUUGAUUCAGAUGUUGGUCCAGAGAGGUUAUGAAUCUGAUCCAGUAAAAGCCUGGAAAGAAGCACAGGAAAAGGCUGCCGAAGAGGAGGACUCACAGAAUGCCAAUGAUGAUGCUUCCUCUGCUUCUGGUGCAACUUCUGGCCCUGACUUUAACUACAUCUUAAACAUGUCUCUGUGGUCACUCACGAAAGAGAAAGUGGAAGAGUUAAUUAAGCACAGAGAUUCCAAGGAGAGAGAACUAAAUGACCUUAAAAGGAAAUCUCCUUCAGAUCUUUGGAAAGAAGACUUAGCGGCCUUUGUUGAAGAGCUUGAAAAAGUAGAAGCACAGGAGAGAGAAGAUGUUUUGGCUGGCAUGGUUGGCAAACCAAUAAAAGGGAAAGUUGGUAAACCCAAGAUGAAGAAACUUCAGUUGGAAGAAACCAUGCCGUCACCAUUUGGCAGAAGAAUAGUUCCACAGAUUACAUCUGCCAUGAAAGCUGAUGCCAGUAGGAAGUUGCUGAAAAAGAAGAAGGGUGAAAGCGAUUCUUUAGCAAUAAAAAUGGAAUUUGAUGAAGAAUUUGGUGGUGUGCCAGCUGAGGGUGGUGGGGAUGACUCACUGAAUGCAUCAGCUGCAGCAGCUAAAACCCCUAAACCUAAGAGAGAGAAGAAGGAGCCUGGUACUAGGGUAAGAAGAACACCAUCAUCUACAAAAUCUGGUGCAAAAAAAGUGAAGAAACGAAACCCGUGGUCAGAUGAUGAAUCCAAGUCUGAAAGUGAUUUAGAAGAGAAUGAGCCUGUGAUUAUUCCAAGAGACUCUCUGCUUAGGAGAGCUGCAGCUGAGAGGCCCAAGUAUACUUUUGACUUCUCAGAAGAAGAAGAUGAUGCCGAUGACGAUGAUGAUGCUAACAAUAAUAAUGAUUUGGAUGAGCUCAAAGUAAAAGCCUCUCCAGUUAUAAAUGACAGAGAGGAUGAAUUUGUUCCUUCAGACAGUUUAGAAAAAGAUGAGUAUGACUUCUCCCCAGCCAAAUCAAAGCCAUCUCCAGAUAGAAAAACGUCUCAAGCCAAGAAAAAUCAAGACUUUGGGAACAUCUUCUCUUUUCCAUCUUACUCUCAGAAGACAGAUGAUGAUACAACAAAAUUGGACAGUGAUGAUGAGGAUUCUGCUCCUGUUUUCUCAUCAUCUUUUGCCCCAAAACAACAGAGAAAAUUCCAAGUAAACAGUAGCUGCUAAAAAGGCAAAACUAGAUGCGCCCCCUAAACCUAAAAGAGCUCCCAAGGCCAAGAAGGUGGAAACUGUAAACUCUGAUUCAGAUUCAGAAUUCGGCAUUCCAAAGAAGACUGCAGCACCCAAAGGAAAAGGUAGAGGGGCAAAGAAAAGGAAAGCAUCUGGUUCAGAAAAUGAAGGUGAAUACAACCCUGGAAAGAAAACACCCAAGUCCACACCAAGCAAGAAAUCCAAAAAGGCUGCUUUUGACCAGGAUUCUGAUGUGGAAAUCUUUCAGUCAGGCUUUGCCUCCGAAACUGCCCCAAAGCCACGGACGGGCCGGGCUAGGAAAGAAGUUAAAUAUUUUGCAGAGUCUGAUGAAGAUGAUGAUUUUGAUAUGUUUAAUUAAGUGCCCAAAGAGCACACAAAUGUUUUCCAACAAAUAUCUUGUGUUGUCCUUUUGUCCCCUCUGUCGCAAACUUUUGUACAUUUGACUUAUUUUAUGUGAUAAUGUAAUUGAUGGUUUUUAUUAUUGUGUGUAGGCAUUUUAACAUUUUGUUCUUACACCUACAGUUUUAUGCUCUUUUUUACUCAUUGAAAUGUCAUGUAUUUGUCUGACUGGCUUGUAGAGAUGUUCUAGACAGCUGUGCUAAAGCACAUUUUAAUUGUCAUGGUUGCAAACAGCAAACCUGCUUUUUGAAAUGAAGUUUAAACAUUAAAAAAUGGAAAACUA